rnacentral:rRNA from 1 species
GACGAACGCUGGCGGCGUGCUUAACACAUGCAAGUCGAACGGAAAGGCCCAGCUUUCUGUGUGCUCGAGUGGCGAACGGGUGUGUAACACGUGGGUGAUAUGCCUCUAACUUCGUGAUAAGCUUGGGAAACUGGGUCUAAUACCGGAUAGGACAAUCGUUUAUUGUCGGUUGUGGAAAGUUUUUUCGGUUAGGGAUGAGCCCGCGGCCUAUCAGCUUGUUGGUGGGGUAAUGGCCUACCAAGGCGUCGACGGGUAGCCGGCCUGAGAGGGUGGAAGGCCACAGUGGGACUGAGAGACGGCACAGACUCCUACGGGAGGAAGCAGGGGGGAAUAGUGCACAAUGGGGGCAAGCCUGAUGAAGCGACGCCGCGUGGGGGAUGACGGCCUUCGGGUUGUAAACCUAUUUCGACAGGGAAGAAGCGUUGGUGACGGUACCUGGAUAAGAAGCACCGGCUAACUACGUG